rnacentral:rRNA from 1 species
AGAGUUUGAUCAUGGCUCAGAAUCAACGCUGGCGGCGUGCCUAACACAUGCAAGUCGAACGAGAAAGUGGAGCAAUCCAUGAGUAAAGUGGCGCACGGGUGAGUAACACGUGACUAACCUACCCUGGAGUGGGGGAUAACUGAGGGAAACCUUAGCUAAUACCGCAUAAUACCUACGGGUCAAAGGAGCAAUUCGCUUCAGGAGGGGGUCGCGGCCGAUUAGUUAGUUGGCGGGGUAAUGGCCCACCAAGACAGUGAUCGGUAUCCGGCCUGAGAGGGCGCACGGACACACUGGAACUGAAACACGGUCCAGACUCCUACGGGAGGCAGCAGUGGGGAAUUUUGCGCAAUGGGGGAAACCCUGACGCAGCAACGCCGCGUGGAGGAUGAAGUCCUUCGGGACGUAAACUCCUUUCGAUCGGGACGAUUAUGACGGUACCGGAAGAAGAAGCCCCGGCUAACUUCGUGCCAGCAGCCGCGGUAAUACGAGGGGGGCGAGCGUUGUUCGGAAUUAUUGGGCGUAAAGGGUGCGUAGGCGGUUUUGUAAGUCUUAUGUGAAAUCUAUGGGCUCAACUCAUAGACUGCAUGAGAAACUGCAGGGCUUGAGUAUGGGAGAGGUGAGUGGAAUUCCUGGUGUAGCGGUGAAAUGCGUAGAUAUCAGGAGGAACACCUGUGGCGAAAGCGGCUCACUGGACCAUAACUGACGCUGAUGCACGAAAGCUAGGGGAGCAAACAGGAUUAGAUACCCUAGUAGUCC